rnacentral:lncRNA from 1 species
GGCCAGACCCUCAGCGUAUGGGGGCUCCCAGGCUAGGGGUCAAAUCGGAGCUACAGCUGCCAGCCUACACCACAGCCACAGCAACACCAGAUCUGAGCCGCAUCUGCGACCUACACCACAGCUCACGGCAACGCCGGAUCCUUAACCCACUGAGCAAGGCCAGGGAUUGAACCUGCGUCCUCAUGGAUACUAGUUGGAAUUUAGAUAAACACCCCAAAUUGUGGGACCUCAGGGCUGAAAGGACCUGGAGGUCAACUCAGUCAAACCUCACUCCUAGGUAAGCCUCCUAAGAUGCUUAUCUCUUCCACAGGUACUACUUGUUUCUGUCAAAGCAUAAUUUUCAAAAAGCUAAAAACAUAACUCUUACACAAACAUAUAGUAAACCUAUAUUAAGGAUUAAGUCCCUAAUGAGAGAAUCAGCAGGAUGGCAAAGCUGGUUCAAAGGUAAUGAAAGAAACAUAUAUUAAGUCAGUGAUGAAAAAAAAGGCUUAAUAAUCUUGCAAAAUUAGAUACAAAACUGGUUAAUAUCCUACAGAGCAAUUAAACUAUAAUCUUUGAGCUUAUCUUUUCUUCUAAACAGAAAUCAUUUAGAUCCCUACUAGACAAAAACUUUUUUUUUUUUUUUUGUCUUUUUGUCCUUUUAGGGCCACACCUGAGGCAUAUGGAGGCUCCCAGGCUAGCAGUCUAAUCAGAGCUGUUGCUGCCGCCCUACACCACAGCCACAGCAACGCCAGAUACAAGCCGUGUCUGCAACCUACACCACAGCUCAUGGCAAUGCCAGAUCUUUAACCCACUGAGUGACGCCAGGGACCGAACCUGCAACCUCACGGUUCCUAGUCAGAUUCGUUUCCACUGCACCACGAUGGGAACUCCAACAAAAACCAUUUGUGACAUCAAUUUUUUGAAAGUUGAAAUCUAACUUUAUGAAUGUAAGUCUCUAAGGCUGUCACCUGCCCUUGGUGGCUUGCUGAAAGAUGCACUGGAAGGUGCACAAUAAUCAUUUUGCCUUUUCUCUGAGUUUUAGGAAAUUUUCCUAAAAUACUUUUAAAACGGCUCAACGUAGCUUAUUAUACAUUUCCAGCGAGCUGGCUGAUAAGUUCUUUCCUCUCUGGUCCAUUUUUUGCUUCUGCCUCAUCUACACCCUCCUAAUUGGUAAAAAAUCUUUUGAACAGUUGAAGUCACUUGUAAAUUACUGCUUAGUUUUCCAAGGUCACGUCGUCCUGAAGUGCGGGGGCCCUGUUUUCCAGACUCUCCAGCCUUCUGUGCCCUGCUGAAUUCUCUCCAACUCUCACACGUGCGGGUCUCUUAAAGACAAAAAGGGAGCAUCUGAUUCAUCGGCGCUGAUUCACGGGGCUGCUCCCCCAGGCCCCGGCUAUUCUGAGGCAGUUACCAUAAUUCACUAUAAUUUCCCAACUCCACACCCCCACCCCGUCACCUCUUUCUUUCCACAUAACAGUGCUCAGAAGUCACAAACCAAACCCACGACAGAGCAGCACAUAACCAGCACAACAACCAACCCACACCAGCCAGCACAAUAAUAUGAAGUCAAAGAAGGAGCUUAAUGAAUCAGAGAGGGCCCUGUCCACAUCUGCAUUUCCCAGCGAGGCAAGGGAAUGAGAAGGGAGAAACGCACAGAUUGAGUCAGUCCAUGUUCUAAAUAACGGGAAGGAUGAAUGGGUUCCAAAGGCUCUGGCUUCUAAGAGUCUUUCCUGGGCCAAGGGAAUUUCUGGGGACUGGUCCAGGGGGAGCCUUUGGAGAUGGAGACAGUCUUGCUCCAUUUGGGCUGUGAUGUGACAGAAGGGGUGGCGUAUAAACCACUCCUUUCUCGCAGUCCUGGAGGCUGGAAAUCAGCGCGGCAGUGUGGUCAGGCCCCCUUCCGGGUCACAGCCUUCUCACUGGGACCUCGUGUGGCGGAAAGAACUAGGGGAUCUGUGGGGUCUCUCAAGAGAGCACCCACCCCACUCAUGAGGGCGCCACCUGAGGACCCAGCCACCCAGAGGCCCCACCUCCUCCCUCGGCAGCAAGCUGGGAUUACAGCGUGUGGAUGGGCGGGGACCCCAGCAGAGCCCGAAUGGAUGAACACCGGGGGAACCUCAAGCGUCUCCUGGCAAGGCGGGAGCGACGGUGGGUUACAGACGCGCACACGUAACAGCAAACCACACGGGUCUCAAGGAAACCAUGCUGCCCCCAGAGCCAGCAGCUGUCCCCGCGUUCUGAACCCCUAAGGUCUGGAGCUGAGGCACCAAUCCCGACCACACGAGCCCUUCCCAACCUACAAGCAGGAAGAGGGAAAACCUCUAUUUAACAUGUGUUCUGACAGCAGAGAAGAUGACAAAGAAAUUGCAUGAAUUUAUGCCUAAGAAAGUUGUCAUUUGAGGAGUUCCCAUUGGGACUCAGUGGUUAACACAUCUGACUAGCAUCCAUGAGGACG